rnacentral:rRNA from 1 species
CGGGGGAGUACUGCCAGACUUGGAACCGGGAGAGGUAAGAGGUACUACAGGGGUAGGAGUGAAAUCUUGUAAUCCCUGUGGGACCACCUGUGGCGAAGGCGUCUUACCAGAACGGGUUCGACGGUGAGGGACGAAAGGCUGGGGGGCACGAACCGGAUUAGAUACCCGGGUAGUCCCAGCCGUAAACGAUGCUCGCUAGGUGUCAGGCAUGGCGCGACCGUGUCUGGUGCCGCAGGGAAGCCGUGAAGCGAGCCACCUGGGAAGUACGGCCGCAAGGCUGAAACUUAAAGGAAUUGGCGGGGGAGCACAACAACGGGUGGAGCCCUGCGGUUUAAUUGGACUCAACGCCGGACAACUCACCGGGGGCGACAGCAAUAUGUAGGCCAAGCUGAAGACUUUGCCUGAAUCGCUGAGAAGUGGUGCAUGG